UACGCUUGCUUGUAUGUAUUUUGAGCACGCUUCAUUGCGCUCUCAGGUGAUUCAUUCACCUUCAACUCGUGCAGCGUGGGUGGAGUUUAGUACCCGUGCUCAUGAGUGCUGUCCACCAUGUUUGUGCAGGUUGGAUGCAAACAAAUCAUAUUAUUUAUCGGAUUAUUUACCAAGAGAUAUGGAUGUAUGGACUCAUUUCGAUAAAACACUUCUGUAACCAAGAGAAGUGUCAUCACUGAAGGACUGGCAGAUGCUACUCAACACUGAACAGUGGUUGCAGUCCAAGACAAAUCAUCUUUAUUAUACUUCUGACUGAACUAGCAAGGAGCAUUAGAGACAAUGAGAAAAACACAAAAGAAGAUACUUUGAAGAAUGCUGGUAAUCAAAACCAACAAGUUUGUCAGGUGCAGAAAUGAAAGCUCCCAAACAAAGAUGUCACCAGAUUAAGAAGUGGAAAGACAUGUUACACCACCGCGACCAUAAAUCCUGAGCAAUUUGAACAACCAUGGGCAACAACCAGGUCUCUUUAAUUCUAUCCACUAGGUCACCUCGAAGCCUGGGAUCGAUUCCACAGAAAUUAAUGUGUAAUUAUGAGAUACCAACUAAAGUAACAGCUGACUCCACCCACCAAGAUGACAGUGGUAUCGAGGGCAGCAUUAGCGGCGUGUGCCAGCCCAGGCUGGAGCUUCAGCAGUGGCUAAAUGGCUUCAUAGGGACCUGCUGGCCUCCCGACGGGCUUGCAGAUGGCCUGAAGUUUUUUUUUUUCUCUGUCUUCCUGACGGGGCUGAGUCAGAGCACCGAUGGCAGCUCACGCACCGGUGGCAUGCUGCCAGCUGAAGAAUCUGUGACGGCGUUGCUCACUGACACCACACGAGCAGACACAAGUGCAUGCACACCUACACAUUCACAAAAUGCUUUGCUCAUAUUCAUAAAUUACGUCUCCUCAUUUUCGCAACCAGAUUGUAUGAGUAUUUUGUUUUUGUUUGAGUAUUGUUUUUUGGUCCAGCACCCAGUUUAGAUUGAUGUGUGUUGCGUGCUUUUGCCUCCUUUUUCUGAGUAGGACUGUAAAAACCAUCCAUCUAACUACGGGACUAUUGGAGUAUGUCAUUGGAGUGUGCAAGCUUUUGUUUUGCUUGUGGUUGCCGGUGUGCAGCUCGCGGGAAGAAAAAAAGGGCCAUUAGGCCUAGCAUACUUGCUAGCAAAGAGAAGUCACAAAGACAAAAACAGGACUUGCUAAAAUUCCUGGUAGCCCUUCGAGUAGGCAUUCUUCAGAUUUUGGUAGCCCAAAAUGAAUUUAACUCGCCCGAAUAAAAAAAAACAUCGGCUGAACUUAACUGUGGACAAAUCAGCAUGAUCAAAAGUUUAAGUGAUAACAAAUAACAAGUAGCCUAGGCAUGCAACGGAUCACAAAAUUCACGGCUCGGAUCAUAUUACAGAUUUUGAGUGGCAGAUUGCAUAUUUAUUUGGAUGAGCAAAAGAAAAAAAGGUUCGUUAUUAUUUAAAUAACAUAUUAUUUAAAGAACACUUUACUUUGAUACCACAGCAAAAACUAGCUAAUGGGAUGUAACGAUUCACUCAACACACAAUGCCAUACGA